AUUGAACGCUGGCGGCAGGCCUAACACAUGCAAGUCGAGCGAGCGGCGGACGGGUGAGUAAUGUAUGGGGACUACCCGAUAGAGGGGGAUAACUACUGGAAACGGUAGCUAAUACCGCAUACUAUCGGAUUACCCAUAUGGGAUUAGCUAGUUGGGGGGGUAAAGGCUCACCAAGGCAACGAUCCGUAGCGGGGUUGAGAGGAUGACCAGCCACACGGGAAAUGAGAGACGGCCCAGACUCCUAGGGAGGAAGCAGUGGGGAAUGUGGGACAAUGGGGGAAACCCUGAUCCAGCCAUCCCGCGUGUAUGAUGAAGGCCUUCGGGUUGUAAAGUAGUUUUGGCAGAGAGGCGGUAGCUGCAGAAUAAGCACCGGCUAACUACGUGCCAGCAGCCGCGGUAAUAC
rnacentral:rRNA from 1 species